UACAGAGGGUGCGAGCGUUAGGCGGAAUCACUGGGCUUAAAGCGUGUGUAGGCGGAUGCCUAAGUACCUUGUGAAAUCCCACGGCUCACCCGUGGAACCGCUGGGUAUACUGGGCAUCUUGGGCCAUUCAGGGGCAACUGGAACAAGCGGUGGAGCGGUGAAAUGCGUAGAUAUCGCUUGGAACGCCGACGGUGAAAACAGGUUGCUGGGAAUGUGCCGACGCUGAGACACGAAAGCCAGGGGAGCAAACGGG
rnacentral:rRNA from 1 species